rnacentral:rRNA from 1 species
GACGAACGCUGGCGGCGUGCUUAACACAUGCAAGUCGAACGGGCCCGCCCCUGUUUUUGGGGGUGGGUUGAGUGGCGAACGGGUGAGUAUCACGUGAGUAACCUGCCCCCUGCUCCUGGAUAACUGCUUGAAAGGGCGGCUAAUACGGGGUGUGCCGGCUGGUCCGCAUGGGCCUGGUCGGGAUAGUUUCAUCUUCGGGUGUUUCGGUGGGGGAUGGGCUCGCGGCCUAUCAGCUUGUUGGUGGGGUGAUGGCCCACCAAGGCGGUGACGGGUAGCCGGCCUGAGAGGGUGGGCGGCCACACUGGGACUGAGACACGGCCCAGACUCCUGCGGGAGGCAGCAGUGGGGGGGAUUGCACAAUGGGCGGAAGCCGGAUGCAGCGACGUCGCGUGAGGGAUGGAGGCCGUCGGGUGGUGAACCUCUUUCUCCGGGGGGGAAGGCCCUGUCCGUUGCGGCGGGGUUGACGGUAGCCGGGUAUGAAGCGCCGGCUAACUACGUG